CUACGGGAGAAAGCAGGGGACCUUCGGGCCUUGCGCUAUCAGAUGAGCCUAGGUCGGAUUAGCUAGUUGGUGAGGUAAUGGCUCACCAAGGCUACGAUCCGUAACUGGUCUGAGAGGAUGAUCAGUCACACUGGAACUGAGACACGGUCCAGACUCCUACGGGAGGCAGCAGUGGGGAAUAUUGGACAAUGGGCGAAAGCCUGAUCCAGCCAUGCCGCGUGUGUGAAGAAGGUCUUCGGAUUGUAAAGCACUUUAAGUUGGGAGGAAGGGCAGUUACCUAAUACGUGAUUGUCUUGACGUUACCGACAGAAUAAGCACCGGCUAACUCUGUGC
rnacentral:rRNA from 1 species